CAACUGGCCUCCAGUUUGAUUCUUUCAGUUCACCUCUUUGUUCUUCAGUGCAAAUCUUUUCUUUCUAUAGUAGACAUUCUCUCUCUCUCACUCACUACCGAUGACCAAAGAAGCUACGGAAAUAGUUAGCUUCAAUGGGCUGGAGAAGGAAAAAGUGCAGUGAAAAUAUCCAGCUUUCUACUUUUGACUACUCGGCUAUCCAAUUAAGUUUUUGGAGACGAGGCAAAUAUCAUCCAAGACUAAAUUUCUGUAGAGGAAGGGAAAUGGCGACUUUGUGCCGACUCUAUAAUAUUGUUGCUUCCAUUGCUCUUGCAGCUUUCGCUUUAAAGUGAAACUUUGUAUGAGUGUGAACUAACAACGCUGUUAUAUUUCAGCGGCUUUUCUUUUAGGCAGCUGUUCACCGUUGAAUCUCGCUAAUACAGCCCCCUAUAAUUUUCGUUAUCGAGAUAUCUUUUUUUUUUUUCAUUGUUCCCACGGUUUUUUUUUGGGGAAUCUGCGAUAAAUGAAGCUGUAUCCCUUUUGGCUUGAAUGUAGUUAUGCUAAUUGUGGCUCUAUGGAUUUCUCAGCCAACAAGGUUAAUUA